AUCGCUUCUCGGCCUUUUGGCUAAGAUCAAGUGUAAACUUUGGGAUACACACCCUCCUUCAAAUCAUCAUUUUUGUAUCUUUUGGAUAAAUACCUGGUAGUGCAAUUGUUGGGUCAUAGGGUAGCUCUAUUUUCAAUUUUUUGAGGAACCUCCAGACUGUC
ensembl:snRNA U2 U2 spliceosomal RNA